CCUUGAAACUAUGGAGGGUGAAAGUAACCUUCAUCUCCUCUCCUUAUAUUAUUAUUGAACAGGCAAAGUGGUGUAAAUGUAGGAGAUCUGCCUCUAGCUAAUCUUAUAUGGACUAAAAUACAAAUUUCAAGCCUCAGCAGGUUGGCACAGGUGCUGCUCAUGACUUUGACUCGGCUUGCUUGGAGACCUCCAUGACAUCUCAAGUUAGCACCUUAGCAGAGGGGAACAAAUUCUCCGCAGCUCCUAUUAGAAUGCCAAUGAAACAUCAAGUGCCCUCAUUUUUGAAUGGGAAGCAUACAAAGUAUGGUAUUUCAGAAUCCAUGGGAUCUUAAGUGAGAUAAUAUCAGAAAAUUGUCACAUGUCCUGUUUUACCAACUAGCGUCCUUAAUCGGAAAAACUGUAAGAAGACAGUUUUGCCUGACAGCAAACUCUAAGAAGCUGCCUAGCCCAGGUUUAAGGGAAAUGUAUGAUCAUAAUCAACUAUCAGGCUGAGUAGGCAAAGAUUACAUGAUCUUUCUGUGCUACAUGCCCAUAAAAAAGUCUUUUCCCAAUAAAGUUUGAUUUCUGGCUAA